rnacentral:rRNA from 1 species
GAUGAACGCUGGCGGCGUGCCUAAUACAUGCAAGUCGAGCGAACAGACGAGGAGCUUGCUCCUCUGACGUUAGCGGCGGACGGGUGAGUAACACGUGGAUAACCUACCUAUAAGACUGGGAUAACUUCGGGAAACCGGAGCUAAUACCGGAUAAUAUAUUGAACCGCAUGGUUCAAUAGUGAAAGACGGUUUUGCUGUCACUUAUAGAUGGAUCCGCGCCGCAUUAGCUAGUUGGUAAGGUAACGGCUUACCAAGGCAACGAUGCGUAGCCGACCUGAGAGGGUGAUCGGCCACACUGGAACUGAGACACGGUCCAGACUCCUACGGGAGGCAGCAGUAGGGAAUCUACCGCAAUGGGCGAAAGCCUGACGGAGCAACGCCGCGUGAGUGAUGAAGGUCUGCGGAUCGUAAAACUCUGUUAUUAGGGAAGAACAAAUGUGUAAGUAACUAUGCACGUCUUGACGGGACCUAAUCAGAAAGCCACGGCUAACUACGU